GUGCUCCCUUUGGCAACACAUACACUAAAAUUGGAACAAUACAGAGAAGAUUAACAUGGUCCCUGUGCAAGGAUGACAUGCAAAUUUGUGAAGCAUUCCAUAUUUUU